UUGCGGCUAUAUCACGUUGAAACUACGCUUCUCAUACGAUCACCGAAUUUAAGCAACGUCGAGCCUGGUCUGUACCUCGAUGAGUGACCUCUUGGAAAUACCAGGUGCUGUAA